rnacentral:rRNA from 1 species
UACAGAGGUCCCGAGCGUUGUUCGGAUUCAUUGGGCGUAAAGGGUGCGUAGGUGGCGCUGUAAGUGGGGUGUGAAAUCCCCGGGGCUUAACUCCGGAACUGCAUUCCAUACUGCGGUGCUUGAGGACUGGAGAGGAGACUGGAAUUUACGGUGUAGCAGUGAAAUGCGUAGAGAUCGUAAGGAAGACCAGUGGCGGAAGGCGGGUCUCUGGACAGAUCCUGACGCUGAGGCACGAAGGUCAGGGGAGCAAACGGG